GUAGGUGAACCUGCGGAAGGAUCAUUACCUAGAGUUUGUAGACUUCGGUCUGCUACCCCUUACCCAUGUCUUUUGAGUACCUUCGUUUCCUCGGCGGGUCCGCCCGCCGAUUGGACAACAUUCAAACCCUUUGCAGUUGCAAUCAGCGUCUGAAAAAACAUAAUAGUUACAACUUUCAACAACGGAUCUCUUGGUUCUGGCAUCGAUGAAGAACGCAGCGAAAUGCGAUAAGUAGUGUGAAUUGCAGAAUUCAGUGAAUCAUCGAAUCUUUGAACGCACAUUGCGCCCCUUGGUAUUCCAUGGGGCAUGCCUGUUCGAGCGUCAUUUGUACCUUCAAGCUCUGCUUGGUGUUGGGUGUUUGUCUCGCCUCUGCGUGUAGACUCGCCUUAAAACAAUUGGCAGCCGGCGUAUUGAUUUCGGAGCGCAGUACAUCUCGCGCUUUGCACUCAUAACGACGACGUCCAAAAGUACAUUUUUACACUCUUGACCUCGGAUCAGGUAGGGAUACCCGCUGAACUUAAGCAUAUCA
rnacentral:rRNA from 1 species